CAGUCGCCGCGGUAAUACGAAGGGGGCUAGCGUUGUUCGGAUUUACUGGGCGUAAAGGGCGCGUAGGCGGGCUGAUAAGUCGGGGGUGGAAUCCCAAGGCUCAACCUUGGAACUGCCUUUGAUACUGUUGGUCUUGAGUCCGGGAGAGGUGAGUGGAACUGCGAGUGUAGAGGUGAAAUUCCUAGAUAUUCGCAAGAACACCAGAGGCGAAGGCGGCUCACUGGCCCGGAACUGACGCUGAGGCGCGAAAGCGUGGGGAGCAAACAGGAUUAGAUACCCCGGUAGUCCCUGUCUCUUAUAC
rnacentral:rRNA from 1 species